rnacentral:rRNA from 1 species
UACGAAGGGGGCUAGCGUUGCUCGGAAUCACUGGGCGUAAAGCGCACGUAGGCGGCUUACUAAGUCAGGGGUGAAAUCCUGGAGCUCAACUCCAGAACUGCCUUUGAUACUGGUGAGCUUGAGUCCGGAAGAGGUGAGUGGGAAACUGCGAGUGUAGAGGUGAAAUUCGUAGAUAUUCGCAAGAACACCAGUGGCGAAGGCGGCUCACUGGACCGGAACUGACGCUGAUGCGCGAAAGCGUGGGGAGCAAACGGGG